CCGUUGGUGAACCAGCGGAGGGAUCAUUACCGAGUUUACAACUCCCAAACCCAUGUGAAUUUACCUUUACGUUCCCUCGGCGGCGUUCCCCUCGGGGUUCCCGCCAGAGGACCAACAAACCCUUUGAAUUUAUUAGUAUUAUUCUGAGUGAUUUAAUCAAUAAAUCAAAACUUUCAACAACGGAUCUCUUGGUUCUGGCAUCGAUGAAGAACGCAGCGAAAUGCGAUAAGUAAUGUGAAUUGCAGAAUUCAGUGAAUCAUCGAAUCUUUGAACGCACAUUGCGCCCGCCAGUAUUCUGGCGGGCAUGCCUGUUCGAGCGUCAUUUCAACCCUCAAGCCCCCGGGCUUGGUGUUGGAGGUCGGCACAAGCGUCCCUCGGGUCGCCGCCGUCUCCCAAAUAUAGUGGCGGUCUCGCUGUAGCCUCCUCUGCGUAGUAACUCAC
rnacentral:misc_RNA from 1 species